UACGUAGGGUGCAAGCGUUAUCCGGAAUUAUUGGGCGUAAAGAGCUCGUAGGCGGUUUGUCACGUCUGCUGUGAAAACUGGAGGCUCAACCUCCAGCCUGCAGUGGGUACGGGCAGACUAGAGUGCGGUAGGGGAGAUUGGAAUUCCUGGUGUAGCGGUGGAAUGCGCAGAUAUCAGGAGGAACACCGAUGGCGAAGGCAGAUCUCUGGGCCGUAACUGGACGCUGAGGAGCGAAAGCAUGGGGAGCGAACAGG
rnacentral:rRNA from 1 species